AGCAGCCGCGGUAAUUCCAGCUCCAAUAGCGUAUAUUAAAGUUGUUGCAGUUAAAAAGCUCGUAGUUGAAUUUCGGGGUUAGUAGAUUGGUCAUGCCUCUGGUAUGCACUGGUCUUACUGAUUCCUCCUUCCUGAUGAGCCGUAAUGCCAUUAAUUUGGUGUUGCGGGGAAACUGGACUGUUACUUUGAAAAAAUUAGAGUGUUUAAAGCAGGCUAACGCUUGAAUACAUUAGCAUGGAAUAAUGAAAUAGGACGUUCGAUCUUAUUUUGUUGGUUUCUAGGAUUGACGUAAUGAUUAAUAGGGAUAGUUGGGGGGCAUUAGUAUUCAAUUGUCAGAGGUGAAAUUCUUGGAUUUAUUGAAGACUAACUACUGCGAAAGCAUUUGCCAAGGAUGUUUUCAUUAAUCAAGAACGAAAGUUAGGGGAUCGAAGACGAUCAGAUACCGUCGUA
rnacentral:rRNA from 1 species